CAUUGGUAAGCGUAACGGACCCCGAACACAUCUGGUAGGCCGAACACAUAUGGUACCUACACCGGACUUGCAUCGGAGCAUCGGAGCCGGAGGAGUAAUGAGGUAUCUAGAGAUAUCUACAAUGAGUCCCACCAUGGAGUUCACUACGCAGAACACCAAGUGCCCAAGGAACUCGAGGAGAACCAAGUUAAAAGAUGGUUGACUAAAGAAUCUGAGAAACAAUUAGAUUGAAAUGACCCUCGCUGCUGUUUCAGGAUCACACUGCCUAAAGGUGGAUGCUCUGAAAGAUCAUUUGACCCCCUACCUGAGUCCUACCUGAGGGGGGGGGGGAGUCUGCAGCCAGGAGCACAUGGUUUCUCAAGAUGUUGGAGACUCUCUCUUAGCUCGUCCACACACUGAUGGAAGGAGUUGCUGGGACAUAUCCACAUCUCAACCACAAACCUGGAUGCUGACUCCAAGGCUGGAGUUAUAAUGAGGAUCUACAACGAGUCCCAGCGCGGAGUUCACUACGCAGAAAACCAAGUGCCCAAGGAACUCGAGGAGAACCAAGUUAAAAGAUGGUUGAACAAAGGUCACACUGCCUAAAGGUGGAUGCUCUGAAAGAUCAUUUGACCCCCUACCUGAGGGGGGGGGGGGGGGAGUCUGCAGCCAUGAGCACAUGGUUUCUCAAGAUGUUGGAGACUCUCUCUUAGCUCGUCCACACACUGAUGGAAGGAGUUGCUGGGACAUAUCCACAUCUCAACCACAAACCUGGAUGCUGACUCCAAGGCUGGAGUUAUAAUGAGGGUGUGACUGAAGGACCUGGAUCUGGAGGACGUGCAGACGCAUGAAAAGCCGGGUGGAACAGUUCUACUGGGCUCUGCAGGGGCAUGGAGUCACUUGGGAGUGAAACUCGGACUCUCCUGUCCUCCGUCUUGUUGUACAAGGCUAUUCAUCUAAACCAGGGGUCUCCAACACGUCGAUCGUGAGCUACCGGUAGCUCGCAAGCCAGCCGCGGCGUUAUGGGUGGGCCUACUGGGCCCAGGCCCACCCACUCUGUCACUGGGCCCACCCAUUCAUUGAUCAAAAAUGACUGGGCGAAAAUAUAGCUUCCGACAUUUUUAUUUUUGAUUAUCAAAACUAACAAUUACAUAAUAAAAUAAGAGCAAACAUGUGUAUCCCUUUAAAAAAACUAGUAAAAGUAACAUGAAUUAACGUAAAAUGGACCGAACUCAUAGUGGAAGCGCGAGCAAACACAUCUUAGAACGUCUCGCGGACGCGUGCAGAUGGUGGACAGUGGACUACUCACACACACAAAAAAUAUACCACACUCACUAACGAUGUCACAACAAUCGAUGUUCAGGUUUUUAAAAAGAGUAAGAACAGAGUCGCCGCCGCCAGAACCACCACACUCAUCAUCCUCACAGCAGGUGCCGCCUAAGAGAGACGAGAGUGUGUUUAAUGUUGUGUCCCCGCUGAGCUCAGUCCCUCUGCGGGACGUAGCAUCUGUUGGAAGGACUACAGAAAAUAGCAUCCCAGUGCCGGACCCAUCAGCCAUAGAUGACCCGGCGGCUACACAGCCAAAGCUCAUAAAGUACCCUCAGACACUUUUCGGACAAAGGAAAAGGAGCUUCGCUGCCCACUGGUAUGACAAGUACACAUUAUUGGAAUAUAGCAUUAGCAAGGACAGUGUGUUUUGUAAAAUGUGCCGGCAUUUUAGUGAGAGAGGCGUGGCCGGCGGAGAAGAUACAUUCAGUCGCCAUGGUUACAGGGACUGGAAACAUAUCGACUAUGCUCUCAGUAAACACGAAUGCAGAGCAGCUCAUGCAAUAGCUAUGGAGAGAAAUACAAACUACAGACAGUGCGAGAAGUCUGACCAUGGAACCAUCCUCCAUCAGCUACUCAAUCCAGAGGGCCGACAGGGAGAGAUCAUUGAGAAAAAUCGGGAACACAUAGAGUUUUACCGGACAUAAUUCUCAUGUGUGCAAAGCAAGAGAUUCCUCAUUUCAUAUUGAGACUAAAUAUCUAGGGAAAUGAUUAAGAAACGUAGAGCUAAAAUGUCGUGCCAUUUGCAACUACCGGAGCGCACCCUGACGCGGCAGGCAUUCUCCAGCCCACAUCAGCAAAGCUUAUGAGUGUGAAGCAACAGUAUCUGCUGCCCAGCUGCUUUAGUAUGAAACGUACGUUCAGCUUAUGAAAGCUCUGCAGUAUCAGAAGGAAGUAGCCUAAUGAUAAAUCUGCAGCCUCUGAAAAGUGCCGCGUCAGAGAACCAGUGCCUUUUACGCACGGCCGCUCACUUCGCUAGAUCCGCUAAAAAGUACAUCAGCCUGCAGUCUAACCACACAGACACACAUCAGGUGCUCGCUCAUUAUUCCAUAGUCUGCCGUUGUAUGCUCUUUGUUUCUAAACGUAUCAAUGUAUUGUGAACCAAAACAAAAUAACAUGCAGUAGUUAAACAUUUAAUUUCACUCAUUGCGGCGUGCCGCUUAAUCAUUUAAAUAAUAUUUAAGCUUCUUAUAAGUGAAAAUGUUGAAAAGAGAAGGGUUUAGAAAAAGUGUCUUUACUAUAGGGAUUAUGCAUUACACAGUUGCCUACAAUGAUAUGCAGGCAUUUAUUUUUAUCUUAUUUUUGUUAACGAGAAACAUCUAUUGGAACAGGCCCAGACGAAAUUAGAUUGGCCCACCCACAAUUGAAAUCCUGGCGCCACGGCUGUCGCAAGCCCUCAAUAAGUAGCUCGCCAAGCAAAUCCAAAAUGUAAAAAAUACACCAAAAAUAAAGGAAAUGUAAUUAAAAGAAUCUACCCUAUGCAUAAACGAAACCUAAAUCAUAGCGAACUCUAUCUACUUACUACAACUCUAUAUCUAUCUAACACCCCU